rnacentral:rRNA from 1 species
AUUGAACGCUGGCGGCAGGCCUAACACAUGCAAGUCGAACGGUAACAGGAAGAAGCUUGCUUCUUUGCUGACGAGUGGCGGACGGGUGAGUAAUGUCUGGGAAACUGCCUGAUGGAGGGGGAUAACUACUGGAAACGGUAGCUAAUACCGCAUAACGUCGCAAGACCAAAGAGGGGGACCUUCUGGCCUCUUGCCAUCGGAUAUGCCCAGGUGGGAUUAGCUAGUAGGUGGGGUAACGGCUCACCUAGGCGACGAUCCCUAGCUGGCCUGAGAGGAUGACCAGCCACACUGGAACUGAGACACGGUCCAGACUCCUACGGGAGGCAGCAGUGGGGAAUAUUGCACAAUGGGCGCAAGCCUGAUGCAGCCAUGCCGCGUGUAUGAAGAAGGCCUUCGGGUUGUAAAGUACUUUCAGCGGGGAGGAAGGGAGUAAAGUUAAUACCUUUGCUCAUUGACGGUACCCGCAGAAGAAGCACCGGCUAACUCCGUG